UACGAAGGGGGCUAGCGUUGUUCGGAAUUACUGGGCGUAAAGCGCACGUAGGCGGAUAUUUAAGUCAGGGGUGAAAUCCCGGGGCUCAACCCCGGAACUGCCUUUGAUACUGGGUAUCUCGAGUCCGAGAGAGGUGAGUGGAAUUCCGAGUGUAGAGGUGAAAUUCGUAGAUAUUCGGAGGAACACCAGUGGCGAAGGCGGCUCACUGGCUCGGUACUGACGCUGAGGUGCGAAGGCGUGGGGAGCAAACGGG
rnacentral:rRNA from 1 species